rnacentral:lncRNA from 1 species
CCUCCAUUGCUCUAUGUUCUUUUCUUUCCUACAUUAUCGCAUAUGUAGGCUCCACGGGAACUUUUAAAAUCCAGUCCGAAGCCAAUGAAUAAAGUAUUGUUAUCUUUUCAAUUUCUUUAAAAUAAAUAAAUGUAACAUUAUGGUUAAAGUUACUUAUUAACACCAAUGAGGUAGGUUAGAACAUCUUUAAUAGAAGAACACAUGUUAGAAUAAAACUCUCAAUCUCUAUUUUUUUUUUCUAUUUUAGAGAUCUCUUUUAUAGAGAUGAGUUGGAGAUGGUCUUAGUGAUUAUAAUAUAUAAUCUCUCUUCUUAAAAAAAUCUAAGAUGUUUUUGGAUGAAAUCAUAAAUAUUUAGGAAGUUGCUUUUACUUAAAAAGUAUCAAUAAAAAUAUUGAUUAAAAUCAAUCUAACUAAUUAUAAAAUAAACUAUAAAAUGUAACUGGUUACACAAUUUUUAAUAAAAUUAAAAGUUAUUUAAGAAAUUAUAAAUAUUUUAUAUUUUGAAACAUCAAAAAUUCAUUUAAACAUCUUACAUUAUAAAAUAGAGUGAGUAUUAUUUAGUAUACAAAUUCAAACCUCAUUGAAAAAUGUUUAAAUUACAUUGUUUGAAUCUCACAUAGAUGAUAUACGGCCGAAAAACCUCAUAUUGACAACAGCUAUAUUAAAAAUACAUAUCAACGACAUGAAUCUAACGAGUCAACACAAUAAAGUUGUAUAUAGAAGACUUAAAAAUGGCAAAGGAAAUAGACGAAAUAAGAGGCUUUGAAUGGUGAUUGUCGUCCCGCCCCGCCCCGCAGUUAACAGUAACAAAAAUUUCUACAUAUACUAUAUAUCUAUAUAUUUUUAUAACUGUUAAAACCGCAGCACAGUUGAACCGCUUGUCCCGCACCACUCAAAUCGCAGUCACCAUUCGAAGCUAUUUAGUAAGUUCUUCUUCACUUUUAUAUAUAUGGAUUAUCAGGUUUAAACCGUAUCAACGAUAUGACUUCAGAUGAAGUGACUACAAACUUAAUACAGUAUUGAACAAUUUCUUUAAUAAUGAAAUUUUAAAAUAUUGUGUUCCAAAUAGAUUGUAUAUAUCAGCUAUUGUCCAUAUGCAUGCGAUAGAAAUCUUGUCCCUCGAUGCCGCCAGUAGUCGUGCCAUCGGCGUUAUGUACGUUCUGACAUCACCAAACUCAUUCAAAAGCCAUAAAAUAUUUACGUUAUGGCCUAUGGUCCUACGGAUACCAUAUAAUAUUAUGUGCAUACGUUGAGACUUACGCUAGAGAUUACGUGUAUUUAAGUUACUAUUUACAUUUAUAUGGGUUCGAGUUCCUAGGUUGUGUCAUGGAUAAACGUCCAUAAAUUGAUACAUAAUUCACCGAUACAUGUUAAAAUCAUGCAAGGUAUGACCGUAACUGCAAUAGCAGAUCCUGCCUUGUCGCAUAUGUUGUAAACACAUGGUCCAUCGUUCCUACUGUUUAGUUUAUUAGUUACAUAGGAAUUUGUCUUGUUUCAAAAAAAAAAACAAAAGAAAAAGGAAUUUGUCUAUAUUCCUCACGAAGUGCCGAAUAAUUACAGUGAUAUGCUAAAAAAGUUCACGAUACAAACCUACAAAUACUAAAAGAAAACCUCCAAAUAUUAGAUCAAUAAGUUCAUAUACAUUUUGAAAUCAUUUGAUUAUUUUCUUUAAGAAAAAAUGACAUAUAACGAAAAAUGGGAAUAAAAAUAUGAUAGAAUAGAAUUAACAUUUAGACCAUCUCCAAUCACACUCUAUAAUUUCCUCUAUAUUUCACUCUAAAAUAGAGUAACUCUAUUAUAGAGUUGAAUUUGUUCCAAUGAUUCACU